GGAAGCCACCUCUGUCUCCACCACGGCCACCUCUGAACAUUCCACCGGGACCACCACGAUCCAUGAGGCCACCUCUUCCUCCCCGCAUGCCACCAGGGCCACCUCUGCCACGAUCACCACCUAAGGUGAGAAUAGCAGGGCGAAAGCAGUCAGUGGGUGGCUGCAGAGGCCCUGUGGACACUGUGGAAGCUGCUCUGCUUCCUUCUCUCACAGCAGAACAAACCAGACACUUCACUCAAUCUCGGCAUCGGGCUGACAAUUUAGAAAUGAGGACACGACAACUCAAAGUUGUUAAGCAGAGGGCAACUGCAGUUUACCAAGCCCACAAAUAAGAAAAGAGGUUUAGCACCAGGAAGCUGAGGGGACACUCAUGAAACCUGCACCUACCCGGGGGCGGAAAGGGUGGCGGGAGGAAGCCUUCAGGCUUUGGGGCCUUACACUGGUUGCACUCUGUUCUCCAGGCGAAGUUCUGGUUUCCACAACCCCUGCAUACAAUUACAUCACAGCAGAAAUCACCAAUUGAACUAAGGAAGAUAAACAAGGAAAGGUGGUGUGUGAACAGGUACACACUCACUAUCAAGAGGAUCUAUGUACACCCAUGCUUUAGGGCACAGCCU
rnacentral:lncRNA from 1 species